GGAUAACAUCGCGCGACAGGUUCGUGCAACAUUUGCUUCGCGUUGAAGGAACAUUUUAAAAAUACAACGUUGGAUAGCGAUUGCUUGAGGGUAGAAUGUAUGGCUCUCGUUUCUCGAAGACAGACGAUCGGGACGUUACAAUGAACGUGGGGCGCCUCGGGAUGAUCGUGACCAGGUAGAAUUACGAGUUACGCGUAAUCGAAGGAACGGAUGACUACGUCAACAUCAAAGGAAGAGACGUAACAAGUUGUAGUUAAUAGGUA